UCGUGCACAGUGGCUAAUCAUAGCUUC
rnacentral:piRNA from 1 species